rnacentral:rRNA from 1 species
UGGGGAAUAUUUCACAAUGGGGGAAACCCUGAUGCAGCGACGCCGCGUGAACGAAGAAGGUAUUCGUAUCGUAAAGUUCUGUCCUAUGGGAAGAUAAUGACAGUACCAUAGAAGAAAGCUCCGGCUAAAUACGUGCCAGCAGCCGCGGUAAUACGUAUGGAGCGAGCGUUGUCCGGAAUUAUUGGGCGUAAAGGGUACGCAGGCGGUUUAAUAAGUCGAAUGUUAAAGAUCGGGGCUCAACCCCGCAAAGCAUUGGAAACUGAUAAACUUGAGUAGUGGAGAGGAAAGUGGAAUUCCUAGUGUAGUGGUGAAAUACGUAGAUAUUAGGAGGAAUACCAGUAGCGAAGGCGACUUUCUGGACACAAACUGACGCUGAGGUACGAAAGCGUGGGGAGCAAACAGG